rnacentral:misc_RNA from 1 species
AACGCACGAGACCUGCGGACCUGCGGAGGGAUCAUUACAGAGUUGCAAAACUCCCUAACCCUUGUGAACAUACCUGUACGUCGUUGCUUCGGCGGGUAGCCCCUUUACGGGGCCUCGACCUCCCAGCGAGGUUGCCCGCCGGAGGACCACACAAAACUCUUGAAUUAAUGGCUUCUCUGAGUAUUAAUCAAAUAAGUUAAAACUUUCAACAAUGGAUCUCU